rnacentral:lncRNA from 1 species
UUGAUUCAAAGAAGUAUUAUGAAAUGGAGUUUGAAAAAGAGUCAAGGACUUGGGUCCAGGUUUCUAGUUUGAAAACAUGAAGAUGUUUGCACAACACUUAUGUUAAGUUUGAAAUCAAAGUGUGGAAAAGGUUUAGGACACAAUGAGAGAUGAAUGGAUGAAGAUGGAAAUAAAACUUCUCAGUAGGUUCACCUCUUGAAAUCAUAUGGAGGAUGAUUCAAGGGUGUCCUUU